CGCUUGGUAGCUAAUUUGGUAAAGUAUUUGUCUAGCCUAUAAGGGUCGAGAGUUCAAAUCUCACCUGAGCUG
rnacentral:tRNA from 1 species